UACGUAGGAGGCAAGCGUUUGUCCGGAAUUACUGGGCGUAAAGCGCGUGUAGGUGGUGGGACAAGUCUGCUGUGAAAGCGCCUGGCUUAACCGGGCGAGGUCGGCGAACUGUUUCACUGGAGGACGGUAGAGGGGGGUGGAAUUCCCGGUGUAGUUGGUGAAAUGCGUAGAUAUCGUGAGGAACACCAAUGGCGAAGGCAACUUCCUGGACAGUUACUGACGCUCAGCACAAAGCGUGGGGAGCAAAAGGG
rnacentral:rRNA from 1 species